UUAUCCCAUUGAAAAAUUUUCCUUGUGGCGUGACAUUUAGACCACCCUGUACAUAUGCACUCUUAGAAACUGGGUAUUGAUCUCUGAAAAAUUUUAAUACCGUCGUGCUGGUAUAAUCACGCAAUCACGAAUGGGUAUUAAAAUUUUGCGAAAAAUCAAUACCACGAGCUUGUACGUGGAGAGUAUUAACUUGUAAUACCGAGUUGGUAAAACAUCAAUACUGACUGGUACAGAUUUUAUACCACGUUUACCCAGUCUCAAAUCAGUCCGGUAUAGAUUUGUGCGCGAGAUUUGCAAUGUAAUCACCUCACACUUGCAGUUGCAAAUCGUUCUCUUUUUAAAAAUAAGCGCUUCUAAAUUAUUUCGGCUAGGGAAUUAUUUGAGGGGAAGAAAUUGACUAUUCCGCUGGAAACUUUGACACGUUCUUAUUAAAGGCGAGAUCAUCAACUUAGCCAAUUCCGAGUUCCGGUCGUGCAUAUAGGAUUCCGGAUAAUUUUAGUUGGAUAUUUCCUAUCGAAUUAGGAGUAAAAUAACUUUAAAUUGAAAAAUAUAUAAAAAUAACUGCCUCAAAGUGUGAAUUAUUUACACAAUUUAUUGUUUAAAUUAGACAUGCACCAAGUACCGAAAAAGUCGACUCGGCCGAGCACCGAGUACUCGGCUAUAUUUUUGCCGAGUACUCGUUUCUGCUCGUUUGCCGAGCACAGAGCAAAGCUCGGCAAUCGAGUACCUAGUAAGGCUCGGCCACCUAGUAUAUUGGCAAAAAGAUCAUCAAAAAAAUCAUUGUUUACAUAAUAUCAAGUAAGUUUGAUUUUGAUUGCAAAAAUCACAUGAUGGAUAAUUUGAACUGCGCGGUGUAAGUAACGGGUAAAGUGGUAUUGGAUGCAUAUAAAAAUUUAAGAAAUACUCGGCCGAGCACGCAAAAAUACUCGGCCGAGUCCGAGUAGUGAGAACACGGCCAAAACCUGCCGAGUACUCGGUGCAUGUCUAGUUUAAAUUGCUUGUGCGUUUAGAACCAGUCAGCUCAACUCUUCCACAUUAUUGUUUGUGAGCCAGUUUCAUAAUUAAGUUAUUCCAUUAUAUUCCAUCCAGUUGAUUUCCAUUUUUUGUAAAUAUUUGUCAUUUAUAAUUGGCUGAUUUGUAAUUUUAUCAAAUAAAUAACGUUAAAAUCAAUA